AUCCAGCUGACGAGUCCCAAAUAGGACGAAACGCGCGUCCUCGUU
rnacentral:hammerhead_ribozyme from 1 species